GUGGGUGAAGUGCUGCUUAGACUGGUGCCAAGAUGAGAGUCAGGGGUGCAGGGAUCACCACAUCUCCCCUCCUUGUCACUCACGGGACAUUGAGCCCUUUGGAAGAGGGAACACCCUGCGUCUCAAAGUUCUAAGGAUGGCAAAGACUAUGAGCAUUAGCAGCCAGCCCACCCUGCCAUCUUUCUUUCUCUAGAGCACUGAGACCCAACGUGUCACCUGGGGCCAGCAGCAGCACCUGGGAAAUUAUGAGAAAUACAGACUCUCAGACCCACAGGAUCAGAAGCUGCAUUUUAACAAGACUCAUCUUUACAAGACUCCAGAUGCUGUUGGUGCCCCACCCACAUUUCCUUGGACCAUCCACUGUAGGGCAUGGCCCCAACUCUUCCAACUGUAUGCACACUCUUUUUGAGACCAACUGUACCUGUGGCCAGAGAGUUAUUCCCUGCCCCUGCAGAGCUCCUCGGCCAAUUACUGAGAGGAGAUGCUCUCUGAUUGCCCCAGCAACCUUGCCCUUUGGGUGGGAAAACUGAAAGGAACCGAGGUCUCACACAAGCCAUCAUCAAGCCCAGAGUAGACCCCAAAAGAGGAAAGUAAGACAAGAAUGAGGGUCAUCAUGGGAAGAAGGAAGUCUUGGAGA